rnacentral:lncRNA from 1 species
AAAAGCAAGGAGUGUCGGGAAUGGCGACCAAGCGGCUCGCGCGGUACUCGAGGGAGUUCCGGGUCGGGGGCGGGUAGCUCCGGGUCCAGCGCUGGCGUUGGCCGCAGAGCAGGGCACGGCAGGUGGCAUCUGCGGUGAGGGCCUCUAUUCCCCGCAGCCCCGGCGUCUGCGACCUGCCCUCUCUGGCACGGUUGGAAAGGCGCCUCCCUGGACCUCGGUCUUCAGCCUUGGGCCACCUUCUACCCGAGGGUGACAGGAGCCCGAGGCGGACGAACCCUGGGGCCUUGACUGUGUGGCCUUGAGCCAGUGCCUGCCUAUUUUAGGCCUUGGGAAACGACUGGACGUGACAGUGCCCUGCAGACUGGUUGGAGGUCUCAGGCAGGCCACACACUGAAUCUGUCAAGUAAGGCCAUUUUUACUUCCUGCAGAAAGGGUACACUCGCCAGCAGUUUUGCCAGGAGAGUACACUGAACAAAGGAGACAGGGUCAUUUAUAACGUGGCGCGUCCACCCUACUGCUGUGUCCGGUUUCCUUUGGCUGGAACGGGACCUCACAUUCUGUAUUUGUCCCGACUGACUAGCAACAUA